rnacentral:rRNA from 1 species
AUGGCCACCGCGCGCGACGUCGAGGAGGUCGUCCAGAAGCUCGCCUCCGACCGCGCCAGGCCCCGCGAUGAAGGGGUGAAGCUGCUGGGGACGUGGCUGCAGGGCGACCGCGCCCCCACCUUCUGCCGCCUCCUCGCCCGCAACACCGCCAGGGCCAAGCCCGGCCACCUCGCCUCCGGGGCCACGUGGCCGUUCCUCAUCACCGCGCUCGCCAAGUGCGUCCUCGCCGACAUCGCCGCCAAGAGGCGCGGAGCCACCAGGAGCGCCGCCGCCGGGAUGCUCCGCGCCGCCGUCCGCUGCGCAGAGGACGCCAGGCUCUCAGGGCACUCCUUACUUCUGAUUUCAGUUGCUAAGCAGCUUUUUAGUCAUAUAUUGGAGGUCAUAAAAGAUGCUCCCAGCUUUCAGCUAGAGUACAGCCCAAUUCUCCGGCAGCUUUUGACUGUGAAGGAGUACCGGUAUCAGAUGAAACCUCGAACAUACAGUAAUCUUGUAGUGCUCUAUAUGAAGAAGGUUGCGACUGGUUUUGAUGCAAACUUCAGCAAUCAAGCCAGCUCAAAGGAGGAAUCCUUCCGCUGUACGUGGACUCUCCAUGUUCUACUUGAAAACCCACCUGGCGAUUAUCCUGACACCAUGAGGGAGGAGGUUCUUAAUGGAUUCUGUGCAAUAUUCUCACAUAUUAGGAGGCAAGAUGGAAAGCUGACUAGCAAGCUCAUGGAAUGCGUUAACACCUUUUUACUCAUGGAUGGACCAAACCUUGGAGACAAAUCUGUGGAGAUCCAUAAAGCAGUUCAAGAUUUUGUAUUGCGUUCGUGGCUGAUGACUCGUGAUCUGCGGCUGAAGAGUUUGUUCAUCACAUAUGCGAAAAUUCAGUUGAAGCUUGCUAGAGCUAUUCCAAAGGUUUUGGAAAGAAAAAACCUUCUUGGUGUCAUCAUGGACGACCUAGAUCAAAAUGUUAACACUGAAGCAGGUUUAUUAUGGUGUGAGGCAUCUCGAGAUGCGAAAGACAUGUCCUUAAGAUGCUCCUUGGAAGAGUUAAUGGAUCUAUCUGCUACUAUUUUUUACCAGGCAUAUAAAUCCCCCACACCAAUGAGAGGAGAUGAUGAGAAAAAAUUGAAGACGGAGGAUGUUAUUAGCCGCAUCACGAAUAGCCUAAAAAAAGGAUCUCUAUGUUGGAUUGGUACCACAUGUCUUCUUAUUCACAAGUAUGGAUAUCGAGUGGACAAAUCUUUGUUGAUCAGUUGGCUCCAAGCAUGUUGUCAAUCUUUGAAAAGUGCUUUGAGCAAGGCAAACGUCAUACGUUCUCAGGAUUCACUGCUUUGGAUUAUCAGGGCACUUAAGGAGUUCUCUGCGAUGUUCAUAGUGAAUACUAGGGAGGAAUCACAUUAUUUAUUAACAAAAGGCGAGAUGUCAACUGUUGAAGGUUAUUGGCAAGAUAUCUGGAAUUCCCUCAUUCAUGCACUUCCUUUGUUUAGCCCCACAGCUCUAGUGGCUGAUUCAGCUCUAAAUCUGUUGGGUGGAAUGAUCAUGCGGGAUCAAGUCCAUACUUCAGUUGUGUCAGAAGAUACAUGGAACCUGCAAACUUUUAAACAAUCGCCAUCACCGUCUGCUCUGUACUUCAUUGCUUGUUACUUCUCAAGGAUAGGGUUGCAGGGCGAUUUAUCCAAUUCUAGCCUUGUUCGAAAGAAUCUGCUAAGAUCAACUUUGGAGUUGAUUCAGUCAGUGUCAAAGGGAUCCUCUCUUUUAAAUGAGCAAAAUGCUGUGAUGAUUCCUGAAGCCAUUUUUUCUAUCUGUGCUGGUUUUUCAUCAUCAGCCAUUAACUCAGCAAAUGCAUCCCAACUGUUUGAUGAAUGCAAGGACUUCUCCAAGUUGUUACUCGAGAGUGAAAAUUGGGUCAUCAAAGAUGAACUAGGUUACUCUGUGGAAGCCUUAUCAGAAAUCAGUACUGAAAGUUCUACCAAGGUUAUAUCUGAUAAAUGCAACCGAGCACACCUCCCUGGGCACAUCCAACAGCAAUUGCUUGAUCAGCUUAUGGAGUUCGAAGGAUUUAUGGCCUCAAAUGAACAGCUUGAGAAAGUGGACUUAUGUACUCUUGUAUACCGUUGUUCCCUCCUCUGCAAUCUAAUUCAUUGCGCGCUAUUGUCAAGGGCAAUAGAAGAAAAUUCUUUAUUUCUUAAAGAAUUAUUUGGUUAUGUUACUGGCAUCAUAAAAUAUAUGAUAUCAAUGGUUAUGAAAAAGCACGAGGAACUAUCUCAUGGUCUUACUAGUGUAGGCUCUGCAUUUGAGGCAGCUGGCUCCAUUUUAUCCUCAUUUCAGACCUUCCUCUCUGCUCCAAUUUUUAGACUGCGGAGUGUUAGUAACAGAGCCAGCUCUGUGCUUAUUAAAGGUGUCACUGUAUUGCUUGAUGAACUAUUGGUGGAAUUCUCUCAGUUGUUUUCUCGUCUUUCUAGCUCUGCGAAUAAUUCUGAUAGUGAGAACACUAGUAAAAUGUUGCGAAUAUCUUCUGUCAACUUGUCAGAAGAUCUAAAUCCUUUUGUUGACCGCAAAAGUGUUGUUGAUAUGGAUUUUGAUAUGACGGACUCUGGUGAGGUUGACUCUAUCACAGCUGGUGUAAGUGGAAGUAUUGGUAUCUCGUCACGCCUUUUGGAGUGGAAGCUUGAACUAGUUGGUGUUAUUUCAACUUUUUUCUCAGUGUCAGCACCCCAUACAUGGGAAAUUUUGUACAACUUAGUGGAGAAAGAGAGUGAUGUCAAGGUCUCCCAUGCCAUCCUGCUUAAUCUUUGUCAAAAUAUCUCCUCUUCAUCUAAAAGUUUAUCUUCUGUGGUCCAUUUGAUAUCCGAUAUGAGGGACAAAUGUGCAAGUUUACUACUUGGUUCUGCUGACUGCUUAACACAUGUACAUGCCUUGUUAAGAACUUUAAUGGUUACACGUGAUGUUGGACAAAAUACUGAUGGAAAGCUGCAAGCAUAUAAUGAGGUUUCAAAUGAGAACCAGGACAUUCUAUUGGACUUGGUGACUAAAGGUACUGAGAUCAGCAUCACAGAUUGGUUUUUCCGGAUCAAGCUCAUUGAUUGCAUCACCCACUUUAUUCACUUGUUCCCUGAUGGUGCCCAGGAUAUGAUUGGACAUUUCCUCAACAUGCUGCAUGAUACUGAUUAUCGUGUUAGGUUGUAUCUGGCUAGGAAAAUGGUUGUGCUAUUCGAAACAUGGGAAGGACAUGAUGAAUUGUUUCGUGACGUUUGCUCAAAUAUUGGUGUCAAGAUGGUGCAGUUCUCCAGUGAGAUUCCAGUUAAAUCUAGAGAAGUCUUAGCUAUUGGUCCACAAUCUGUUCCAGUUAUUGAAACUGUCCUCAUUACAUUAGCUCAUUUGUCUGUGCAUAGUGAGGAGGUUGAAUUUGAGUGUGCAUUCAUGAUUUCUGCUGUUGCUGCUAUACAGCCUUCUCAGCGAAAAUUGGAAUAUGCUUUAUUUGAUUCUAUCUCAAGAAAGCUCAGUUACGCUUCACGAAGUAAGUAUUUGGACCAACUGAUGGGUCCAAUUCUCUUCCGGUGGGUUGCCUGUGAAGUGAGCCUAGUUUCGCUUGUUAAGGUGCAAGAGAUGUUUGGUUUUGAUACGGCCAAGCCAAAGGAGUUCAUUGAACAUAUCUGCCCAUGGCUUCUUUCGUUCCUUAUUCUCAGGGGUGAUGCUGCUGGUCUUAAUUGGAUAUCCAAGACGUUGUUACAACCUUUAUCUGCUGUCAUCAAGGGAUAUUUUAUUCAGAUCUUUGGAUUGUGUAUUGCCGCCAAAAAUGGCACUGGGCCAGAGAAGGACUUGGCAGAAACUGUCUUAUAUGAAUCACUUUUACAGCUUGGCGAAAUUUCUGAGUUUGAGCGUGAUGAUCUCAUUAGAAAACAUAUGGUUUCCAUUGUGGGCGUUUUGCUCACAGUUUCAUCCACUGCUCGCCAAUCAGAAUUGCCAUACUUUUCCAGGGAGAUUUUAGCACGCACAAUCAAACAAGUUGUUGACGGAUUCAUGGAUACAGCGGAUGACGAUUCGGCUGAUACGGUGGUUAUUGACAAAGUUAAUAUAUUCCGUGCUGACAGAGUUUUUAAGUUCCUGUUGGCAAUACAUCAACAAGUUACAGAAGCAGGCCAUCCUAGGCACAUGAGUCAUCGGCUUUGUGCGAUUGAGGUUUUAAUAGAUGUACUUGGGCACAGAGUGGUACAUUAUAGCACUUGCUUCUAUAUUAUUUGUAUAGUGGGGAAUUAUAUCUGGAGGCAACCACUGCAAGGCCAGUGCUGCAACAUUUUAUCUAAAUUGUUGGUUGCUUUCAAUGCAAACUCAUCUACAGAAACUGUCGCUGUGCUUGGCACACAGCUCCAGCUUUUGGUUCCUAAAUUAAUCACCUGUUGCCUACCUAAUGAUCAAGAAGGAGGACGUCCCAAUGGGGAUUUGUCGAAAAUUCUAUCUUUGCUUCGUCAAUUAACAGUUGAUGCUGAUCCCUUGCUUUAUGAUUACAUACGAGAUUUGGAACCACUUCCUGGUCUUGAUUGCUUGAAAGAUAUAAAAGUUUUCCAUGCUUCACUUUCUGACUCAUAUGCCUCAAGAGACCAGUUUCUGAAGUUUGUUCACAGGGCUCCUCACUUGCCUGCAGAAUUAUUUUUGGUGAGUCUUCGUACACAUCACAAGAAGUUAUUAUUGGGAGAAAUCAUCUGCAGAGGCGAUGUAUCUGUCGGUAAUGCUGACACAGUUAGUUGCUGGCGCAGCGACCCAGAUGUUGUUUCGGCUGUAUGGACUCUUGUUGGCCUUUGCAGCUCAUCAUCUGUUGCAAAUGAAGCUUCUUCAGUGCUUGCUGAUUUUAUCUCUAGGGCUGGUAUAUCUGAUGCUCAUCAAGUAAUAUUCGAUGUUCCAAAUCUUAGUCAAAAGCACUCCUUACAACUUCAAAGUGGUUCUACUUCCAAGGAAGAUAAAUUGUGUUCCGACUAUGGUAUUUCUGAUGAUAUCUUGCUUGAUCUUCUGAAACUCUUGAAGACUUAUUUAUCAGACGGGUCUGUUGAAAUAAUAGAAGUUACUUCACGGACAUUGAAGGGGAUUCUGUCAACAUCGAAGGGCCUCAAUUCUCUGCAGUGUCUUGAUUCUCUUGAUAGAUCUUUACUGAUGGUUCAUUCGAGGGGAAUAAACACUCAGUUAGUUGAGCAGACACUUUUGGGGAUGGAUAAGUAUUCUACUGUUCCACUUGAAGAUUCAGACAUCUGGCAGACUGAUGGUCAGCCGUAUGAGCAAUGGUUAUGUACCCUAGUGAGCUCACUCAUUUCCCAUUGUGAUGACAUCAUCUUAAGACUUUGUAGAAGUCUUGUUUUUCUUAAAGUUGAGGCUGCUGAGCUUUUGCUGGCAAGUGCUCUGGUGAACAUUGCUGGCAAUAUGGAUUCUAAUAGCAGCAUUUGCGGAUUAAUUUCAUCAAAGGUUGAGAAAAUAAUUUUUUGCGACUCGAAUUAUAUGAUGAAAUCAGUUAAGCUAUUUCUGGAUGCACUGAAUGUUGUCAGAUCUUUUUAUGUUACCGAACGAGCCAGAGCUUCCCCCUCCCCUUACAAUACUCCAAAGGAUGGUAGUAGAUCCGCUAGAUCCAAAAGUAGGUCACCAGCGGCAACGCCGUCAUCUUCAUGGAGGAAGGUGUACUGGCUUUUGGUUGAUUAUCUUGUAGCUGCCAGAGCUGCUCAACGUUGCUCAUGUGACUUUGCGACGCUUAUGUAUGUUGAACUUUGGUGUGAGGAACAAUUCAAUAAGCUGGACCUAGGACCUCCAGAUUUUUCACAGCAAGAGUCGUUGCCACCACAUAUUGGGCUAUUGGUUGAGGCAUUUACUCACAUAAAUGAGCCGGACAGCAUUUAUGGAAUAACACUGGCCAAUGAGGUAGCUUCUCAAAUCAUUAGAUAUGAGCAUGAGGGUAACUGGAGCAGCGCUCUUGAAUAUUAUGAUUUACUAGUAAGAUCAACCCCGAAGGAGAACCUUGCCAAUUUUGCUGGGACAGUGUUGACUGGACCAUCUGUGUCUUCUAAAGCAGAAGAGAAUCUGCUGAACUGGAAAAUGCACAAAGGUCUGAUGAGGUCAUUGCAGAAAACUGGAUGUAGCCAUGUGCUUGAUAUUUACAGCCAAGGGUUAACCAACCAAAAAGCGUGCCUUCAACAGGAUUCAGAGUUUGUUGACAUACAAUACGAAGCUGCUUGGAGGGCAGGAAACUGGGAUUUCUCCUUUUUCGUUCCAUACUCUUCGCAGCUUUCAAGCCGCUCCCGCGAUUAUUGUCUUUUCAAUGAAAAUUUGCACAGUUGCCUAAGAGCUCUUCAGAAUGGUGAUGCUGAGCAGUUCCAGGGGAAACUUUCCCAUUCCAAAAUGGAUCUCGUGUUGGCUCUUUCAAAUGCUAGCAAGGAGAGCACGAAAUACAUCCACUCUACCGUUCUCAAAUUACAAAUGCUAGAUCAUCUUUCUAUGGCAUGGGAGCUGCGCUGGAAAUUUUGUCCCGACCAAGCUCCAAAAUCUAAUGUUGGAACUGAGGAAUUUUCUCUUGUGCCUGCUGUACCCAAGAGGAAUCAGCUGGAGUUGUUGAGUAAAGAGUGGAAUUUCAUCCUGUGUCAAACAGAACGUAACCUUGAUCUUUUUGAACCCUUUUUAGCAUUCAGACGUGGCCUCCUUAAGAUCUUAGGUUCUGAAGAACAUCUCAUAGAACAUUUAUUUCAAUCCGCUUCUGCACUCCGGAAGGGAUUAAGGUUUUCUUUGGCUGCGGCUUCCUUAUAUGAACUCAAAGAACUUUGCUGUCACAGAGAUCAGCAAACUGUGCCAAGCACUUAUUUCCUCUCAAAGCUUGAAGAAGCUAAACUGCUGAGAGCUCAGGGGCAGCAUGAUAUGGCUAUUGGUCUUGGUAAAUACAUACUGAAGAACCAUACUGAUGAGAGAAACAAAUCAGAUGUCUACCGAUUGGUUGGCAAGUGGUUGGCUGAAACAAGAUCGAGCAACUCAAGAACAAUCAUUGAAGACUACCUAAACCACUCUGUAGCUCUUGACAAAAAGUACAUGUCCAGGCAGUGUCGCACGCAUUUCCAUUUAGCACAUUACACAUACAACUUGUUCAAAAGCUACGAGGAAAGACUUUCAUCCAAUGAAUGGCAAGCCGCUCUGCGUUUAAGGAAAUACAAGACUAAGGAGUUGGAUACGCUGCUUAAAAGACUCAAAAAUUCAUCCAAGGCUGAGAAAAGUGAUUACGGUGCGAAAAUCCAAGAGUUGCAGAAACAACUUGCACUUGACAGAGAAGAAGCACAGAAGAUUCAGGAUGAUCGAGACGAGUUCUUGAGUCUAGCACUUGAGGGGUACCAACGUUCCCUAGUUGUUGGUGGCAAAUAUGACCUACAAGUGGUUUUCCGGUUGGUAUCACUGUGGUUUAAUCUCUUCUCAAGGAAACAAGUUGUGGACUCAAUGAUUAAAACAACAAAAGAGGUCCAAAGCUACAAGUUCAUACCAUUGGUCUACCAGAUUGCUUCUAGACUUGGGAGUUCAAAAGAUGCUCAGGGGUCAACAAACUUCCAGAAUGCAUUAGCUUCUCUGUUGAAGAAAAUGGCCAUUGAUCAUCCAUAUCAUACAAUAUGUCAGCUUUUGGCUCUAGCAAAUGGUGACCGUGUCAAAGACAAGCAAAGAAGUAGAAGUUCUUUUGUUGUAGAUAUGGACAAGAAGCUUGCUGCUGAGAAUCUAUUAAAGGAGCUAUCUUCUUUUCAUGGGGCUUUGAUUCGUCAGAUGAAGCAAAUGGUUGAGAUCUACAUUAGGUUAGCGGAACUGGAGACUAGGAAGGAGGACACUAACAAAAAAAUCUCACUACCCAGGGAGUUCCGCAGCAUUUGCCAGCUUGAACUUGCAAAGGUUCCUGUUGUGACUGCUACUAUUCCAGUUGACCCUAAUUGUCGGUAUGAAGAAGGCACCUUUCCACAUUUCAGUGGGCUGGUGGAUUCUAUUACUAUAAUGAACGGAAUUAAUGCUCCAAAAGUUAUUCAGUGUAUUGGCUCGGAUGGUAACAGAUACCGCCAACUUGCAAAAUCUGGAAAUGAUGACCUGCGACAAGAUGCUGUGAUGGAGCAAUUUUUCAGUUUGGUAAAUAUGUUCUUGCAAAAUCACAGAGAUACUUCGGAAAGGAGAUUGCGAAUACGCACAUAUAAUGUUGUUCCUUUCACCCCAAGUGCUGGUGUCGUUGAAUGGGUAAAUAGGACUGUUCCGCUUGGUGACUAUCUCUUAGACAGCAAUAGAAUUGGCGGAGCACAUGCACGAUAUGGAACUGGAGACUGGACAUUUCUGCAAUGUAGAGAGCACCUGGCGUGUGAGAAAGACAAAAGGAAGGCGUUUUUCAAAAUCUGCGACAACUUUAGGCCUGUGAUGCACCAUUUCUUCAUUGAGAGAUUCUUGCAGCCCGCAGACUGGUUCCAAAGUCGACUUGCGUACACAAGAAGUGUGGCAGCAAGCUCAAUGGUGGGAUAUAUUGUUGGGCUUGGAGAUCGCCAUUCCAUGAACAUUCUCAUUGAUGAAGACACAGCCGAGGUUGUGCACAUUGAUCUUGGUGUUGCAUUUGAGCAGGGUCUCAUGCUUAAAACACCUGAACGGGUUCCAUUCCGGCUGACAAGGGACAUCAUAGACGGCAUGGGCGUUACUGGCACUGAAGGUGUAUUCAAAAGAUGCUGUGAGAAAACUCUGUCUGUUAUGAGAGAAAAUAAAGAGGCAUUGCUCACCAUUAUUGAAGUCUUCAUCCAUGAUCCUCUUUAUAAAUGGGCCCUUUCGCCACUGAAAGCCUUACAGCGUCAGAAGGAAACUGAAUACAAUGACUCGUGCCUGGAUGAUUCUCAAGAGGCGUACGAGGGCAACAAGGACGCGGCCCGUGCGAUACUCCGCGUCAAACAGAAGCUGGACGGUUAUGAGGACGGCGAGAUGAGGAGCGUAGAGGGGCAGGUCCAGCAGCUCAUACAGGACGCGGUAGACACUGAUCGGUUAUGCCAGAUGUUCCCAGGGUGGGCACCUUGGCUGUGA